rnacentral:rRNA from 1 species
AGCGGCGCACGGGUGAGUAACGCGUAUCCAACCUUCCCUUUAGUAGAGGAUAGCCCGGCGAAAGUCGGAUUAAUACUCUAUGUUGUAUUUAGAAGACAUCUGAAGAAUACCAAAGGUUUACCGCUAAAGGAUGGGGAUGCGUCUGAUUAGGUUGUUGGCGGGGUAACGGCCCACCAAGCCGACGAUCAGUAGGGGUUCUGAGAGGAAGGUCCCCCACAUUGGAACUGAGACACGGUCCAAACUCCUACGGGAGGCAGCAGUGAGGAAUAUUGGUCAAUGGACGAAAGUCUGAACCAGCCAAGUAGCGUGCAGGAUGACGGCCCUAUGGGUUGUAAACUGCUUUUAUAUAGGGAUAAAGUCGGGGACGUGUCCCCGUUUGUAGGUACUAUAUGAAUAAGGACCGGCUAAUUCCGUGCCAGCAGCCGCGGUAAUACGGAAGGUCCAGGCGUUAUCCGGAUUUAUUGGGUUUAAAGGGAGCGCAGGCUGAUGAUUAAGCGUGACGUGAAAUGUAGCCGCUCAACGGCUGAACUGCGUCGCGAACUGGUUAUCUUGAGUGAGUUCGAUGUUGGCGGAAUUCGUGGUGUAGCGGUGAAAUGCUU